rnacentral:tRNA from 1 species
UCUUUUCUUUUGAUAGGAGAGUUUUUAAAAUCAGUGUUAUUUUUGUAAGUUUAAGAGAAGUUUGUGUAUUGAAUUUUUUAUUUUUAAUAUUAAAGAGCUUUGUUAAACUUAGACUUAAGUUUAGGUCAUUUUGGGGGUUUAGCUCAGUUGGCUAGAGCAUCGGCUUUGCAAGCCGAGGGUCAAGGGUUCGAGUCCCUUAACCUCCAUUGGGCUUAUGUCCUAAAUCGUAAUUAAGUAUGUUUUUAAGUAACUUUGUUAAAGUAAUUGUUGGAAUGUGAAACAGAGGAAGUUAAAAUUUCUGGGUUAAGUUGAGAUCUGUUGAUAUUAAGAAGAAUCUCUAGAAGCAAAAGCAAGCUUUCGAUAAAACCUGAAGUUGUUUCGCUAAAGUGCAAGGAUUAAACAGGAUUGUAUUUUCCAGUAGCCUAUUUUAUAAACGAUCUGCAUUUAGUAAAUAGUUUUUAGUUAAGAAAUAAUGUAGAUUGCUAAGUGUGAUGCCUGAAAGAAGGACAAGUAUUGUAGCGAGCCUAAAUCCUUGUUAUCGUUGCCAGUAUUUAGUGGUAGGGAUUCGGAUAAGACUGCCAUUUAUAAGUUGGAGGAAGGCAAAGAUUGCAUUAAAUCGUUAUUGCUCUUAUGUUUUAGGUUACAAGUUUGCCACAAUAACCCAAAAAAGCUAAGCAAAAUGCUAUAAAGCAGAUUUCAGUUUGGAUUUGCCCGACACUCAAUGGCAUGAAGUUGUAAUUGUUAGUAAUCG